AAAGGGUGCGUAGGCGGCCUGUUAAGUCAGGGGUGAAAGACGGUAGCUCAACUAUCGCAGUGCCCUUGAUACUGAUGGGCUUGAAUUGACUAGAGGUAGGCGGAAUGUGACAAGUAGCGGUGAAAUGCAUAGAUAUGUCACAGAACACCGAUUGCGAAGGCAGCUUACUAUGGUCUUAUUGGCGCUGAGGCACGAAAGCGUGGGGAUCAAACAGGAUUAGAUACCCCUGU
rnacentral:rRNA from 1 species